rnacentral:rRNA from 1 species
GACGAACGCUGGCGGCGUGCCUAAUACAUGCAAGUCGAGCGGAAUGAUGAAGAAGCUUGCUUCUUCUGAUUUUAGCGGCGGACGGGUGAGUAACACGUGGGCAACCUACCUUGUAGAUUGGGAUAACUCCGGGAAACCGGGGCUAAUACCGAAUAAUCCAUUUUGCUUCAUGGCGAGAUGUUGAAAGACGGUUUCGGCUGUCACUACAAGAUGGGCCCGCGGCGCAUUAGCUAGUUGGUAGGGUAAUGGCCUACCAAGGCGACGAUGCGUAGCCGACCUGAGAGGGUGAUCGGCCACACUGGGACUGAGACACGGCCCAGACUCCUACGGGAGGCAGCAGUAGGGAAUCUUCCACAAUGGACGAAAGUCUGAUAGAGCAACGCCGCGUGAGUGAAGAAGGUUUUCGGAUCGUAAAACUCUGUUGUAAGGGAAGAACACGUACGAGAGUAACUGCUCGUACCUUGACGGUACCUUAUUAGAAAGCCACGGCUAACUACGUG